rnacentral:tRNA from 1 species
GGUGGGAUGGCCGAGUGGUUGAAGGCGCUGCUCUCGAAAAGCAGUAUUCGAGAAAUCGGAUCGAGGGUUCGAAUCCCUCUCCCACCGCCA